GACGAACGCUGGCGGCGUGCCUAAUACAUGCAAGUUGAGCGCUGAAGGUUGGUACUUGUACCAACUGGAUGAGCAGCGAACGGGUGAGUAACGCGUGGGGAAACUGCCUUUGAGCGGGGGACAACAUUUGGAAACGAAUGCUAAUACCGCAUAAAAACUUUAAACACAAGUUUUAAGUUUGAAAGAUGCAAUUGCAUCACUCAAAGAUGAUCCCGCGUUGUAUUAGCUAGUUGGUGAGGUAAAGGCUCACCAAGGCGAUGAUACAUAGCCGACCUGAGAGGGUGAUCGGCCACAUUGGGACUGAGACACGGCCCAAACUCCUACGGGAGGCAGCAGUAGGGAAUCUUCGGCAAUGGACGAAAGUCUGACCGAGCAACGCCGCGUGAGUGAAGAAGGUUUUCGGAUCGUAAAACUCUGUUGGUAGAGAAGAACGUUGGUGAGAGUGGAAAGCUCAUCAAGUGACGGUAACUACCCAGAAAGGGACGGCUAACUACGUG
rnacentral:rRNA from 1 species